rnacentral:rRNA from 1 species
UACGUAGGGUGCAAGCGUUAAUCGGAAUUACUGGGCGUAAAGCGUGCGCAGGCGGUUUUGUAAGUUUGUCGUGAAAGCCCCGGGCUCAACCUGGGAAUUGCGAUGAAGACUGCAAGGCUUGAAUCUGGCAGAGGGGGGUAGAAUUCCACGUGUAGCAGUGAAAUGCGUAGAGAUGUGGAGGAACACCAGAUGGACGAACGGCAGCCCCCUGGGUCAAGAUUGACGCUCAUGCACGAAAGCGUGGGGAGCAAACAGG